rnacentral:rRNA from 1 species
AUUGAACGCUGGCGGAAUGCUUUACACAUGCAAGUCGAACGGCAGCACGGGGGCAACCCUGGUGGCGAGUGGCGAACGGGUGAGUAAUACAUCGGAACGUGCCCGGUCGUGGGGGAUAACGUAGCGAAAGUUACGCUAAUACCGCAUACGAUCUGAGGAUGAAAGCGGGGGACCUUCGGGCCUCCCGCGAUCGGAGCGGCCGAUGUCAGAUUAGGUAGUUGGUGGGGUAAAGGCCUACCAAGCCGACGAUCUGUAGCUGGUCUGAGAGGACGACCAGCCACACUGGGACUGAGACACGGCCCAGACUCCUACGGGAGGCAGCAGUGGGGAAUUUUGGACAAUGGGCGCAAGCCUGAUCCAGCCAUUCCGCGUGCAGGACGAAGGCCUUCGGGUUGUAAACUGCUUUUGUAUGGAACGAAAAGGCUCUGGCUAAUACCUGGGGCUCAUGACGGUACCGUAAGAAUAAGCACCGGCUAACUACGUG